GCUGAUUCCACCAGUGACUGAGCACAGACCAGCACCAUGGAGCUGGGGCUGCGCUGGGUUCUCCUUGUUGCUCUGUUGAAAGGUGUGCAGUGUGAGGUGCAGCUGGUGGAGUCUGGGGGAGGCUUGGUGCAGCCUGGGGGGUCCCUGAGACUCUCCUGUGCAGCCUCUGGAUUCACCUUCAGUAGCUAUGGCAUGAACUGGGUCCGCCAGGCUCCAGGGAAGGGGCUGGAGUGGCUCUCAUACAUCAGUGGUGAUAGUAGUUACAUAAAGUAUGCAGACUCCGUGAAGGGCCGCUUCACCACCUCCAGAGACAACAGCAAGAGCACAGUUUACCUGCAGAUGAACAGCCUGAGAGUGGAGGACAUGGCCAUCUAUUACUGUGCUAGAGACACAGUGCAGGAAAUCCAGUGUGGGCCAGACACAAACCUCCCUGCAGGGCGCUCAGCACCCCAAGGAAUUCCUGUGUGCUAUGCACCCGGUGUGGAGCGGCUGCCUUAUCUAAUGCAGGACUGA